rnacentral:tRNA from 1 species
CGGGAGUAGUUAAAAAGAUAAUUUUACAUUUGCGUUGUAGUGUUAGGGUUACCCCUCUCCUGUAG